GUGGCCCAUCUGCUUUAGGUAGAGCAUCUGCUUGACGUGCAGAAGGUCCCAGGUUCAAUUCCCAGCAUCUCCA
rnacentral:tRNA from 1 species